rnacentral:lncRNA from 1 species
AUUGUCCCAUAUGGGGCUCAGCAACAACCUGGAUCACUCUUGCCUUCCAGAGGAUUUAUUAAACAGUCCAUCCCCCAGCCUGGCAGACCAAGCCUUGAGAUUCUGUAUCCCUUUGGCUUUGGAAAUACAGGACCAAUGGGGCCAAUUGUGGGACCACAGCUUCCAGCUCUUGGGACCCAAACAGAGCCUGAGAAGGAGGAUUAGAGAUAAUGAAGACCCAGAAUUGACUACUUUGAUGCUGAAAAAUAUUAACAAAAAAUGUUAUGAUGCUUUCAUUUAUCUUAGUAAAAUUGUGAAAUAAUUGCAGUGCUUCUUUUAUCUAUAGAAUAAUAAAAAAAUGUUGUAAUUUGCAUGUAGUUGUAGUAAUGUACUGUAUCAUUGAUUCCUUAGGUAUGUGAGUGGGCUUCUACAGUAUGUUAUAAUUGAAGAUAAGAUCAAUUGUUUUAUUUUUUAUGACACACAUAUCUGACAUCGCUGAAGUCGCUGGUUUCAUCUAACCUGAUUAAUACGAAUUGAACAAACACUAAUCUGGGGUUAAACUGUUAAUGAAAAUACUGUUUGCAAUUCUAAUCAGAAUAUUUGAAACUAGCAUUAAAUGUAUUAAAUGAAAAGGGCAUUAUCACUAAUCAUUUGUCGCGUUCCAUUUAAUCACUAUGUCAUCAAACUUGUCAAAUUCAAAAUGAAAAUGGUUUACAAAAUUUCAGUAUUGCAGAAACUUUAAAAUGAACCAUGUUUUAUAAUGUUGUUUAAUUUGUGUUAUUAAAUACUUAAGAUUCAUCAAAUACCUGUCUGCUUCAUUAUUUUCACUGAAAUCAUUAGAAUAGAUAUUAUUAGAAUAUUAAUUAGUCAUUUUACCAUGGAGAGCCAUCAGACAUUAAAUUGUUUCUUGUCUAAUAAGAUUUUUGUCUAAGGGAUUAAGUCAUCAGUGAUCUAUGUGGUGUGCGUAGUUACUAUGUAAACUAAUACGUUACCUAUUAAAAAGAUUUUUUCCAAUGCCUUA